UACGAAGGGGGCUAGCGUUGCUCGGAAUUACUGGGCGUAAAGGGCGUGUAGGCGGAUAUUUAAGUUAGAGGUGAAAGCCCAGGGCUCAACCCUGGAAUAGCCUUUAAUACUGGAUAUCUUGAGUUCGGGAGAGGUGAGUGGAAUGCCGAGUGUAGAGGUGAAAUUCGUAGAUAUUCGGCGGAACACCAGUGGCGAAGGCGACUCACUGGCCCGAUACUGACGCUGAGGCGCGAAAGCGUGGGGAGCAACAGGGAUUAAGAA
rnacentral:rRNA from 1 species